UUUGGCCAUAUUACGACGAAACACCGAUCCUUGCAAGAUCAUCGAAGUUAAGCAACGUUGAGCCUAGUCAGUACCUAGAUGGGUGACCAUGAGGAAUACCAGGUGCUGUAAG